GUGGGGAAUAUUGCACAAUGGGGGGAACCCUGAUGCAGCGACGCCGCGUGAGGGAAGAAGGUUUUCGGAUUGUAAACCUCUGUCCUCUGUGACGAUAAUGACGGUAGCAGAGGAGGAAGCCACGGCUAACUACGUGCCAGCAGCCGCGGUAAUACGUAGGUGGCGAGCGUUAUCCGGAAUUACUGGGUGUAAAGGGAGCGUAGGCGGGGGAACAAGUUGAAUGUUUAAGAUAUGGGCUCAACUCAUAUAAGCGUUCAAAACUGUUUUUCUUGAGUGAAGUAGAGGUAAGCGGAAUUCCUAGUGUAGCGGUGGAAUGCGUAAAUAUUAGGAGGAACACCAGUGGCGAAGGCGGCUUACUGGGCUUUAACUGACGCUGAGGCUCGAAAGCGUGGGUAGCAAACAGG
rnacentral:rRNA from 1 species